UGAUGUGGAUGAUUGUCUAUGAUGAGUGCUUGUGUGAUUGGUUGUCGUGAUCCCUAUGAGGAUCCUUGAAUGAGAUCUAGGUUGCUAGAAAGAAGUGAAUGCUUAAGAUGAUAAACACGUCAUUGGUAACUAAUGUGAAUGCAUGAUGUACAUGAAUGAGAUGUCCUUUGUUAUCAGUUGUAUGAUUGAGAAGGUGAUGUGUAUUGUGUGAGACACCGAUAACGGGUGACGUCUAGUGAACGAGUAUGAGUAUGAGUCUAAGUGUAAAUGAAUGAGAAUGAGAAUGAGAAAGUGAAUGAGAAUGAGAAUGUGAACGUGUCAAUAAAAUGCGUGAUGUCUUGUUUGGACCACCGAGAACGGGUGGGCGUCUAGAGUCUAGGAUGUGUGAACCUGCGGGACAGUAGCCUAACACGAGGUACCCGCAGGAGCCCACGGGACAGUAGCCUAACAUGAGGUACCCUUGGGAGUGACCCGUGGG
rnacentral:lncRNA from 1 species